rnacentral:sRNA from 1 species
AGUGAACUUCGUUUGCAGUGAAAAUCCUUUUUGAGGCUUUUUCGGCCUCAAAAAGAUUGUAACGUAAAGCCGACCCUUGU